ensembl:lncRNA
CUCUGAAGUUAGGGAUAGUUACUACCUCCUGCAUGAACAACAUAAUGUGAAUUGAUAUGACUUGACCAGAGAUUCACAGUUGUUUUUGUGAAAUAAUUGCAGGAUGGAUUCUUUUGAAGGGUUCUAGAAGAAGACAACCCAAAGUCUAUUAACUGGCUCUUUCAGAGGAAGCUCGUGGGUUUGUCCUUGCGUGAGCAGUCAGUACUGCAGAGAAACGUCACAGAAGCAGUGACACCAUGCGUUUCUCCACAUGUUUAAAGCAGCUUCAUGGAUUUUAUCAAAUUUAGACACACAAGAGCAUCAGUGAGGACGGACAGAGCU